GUAGUCAUAUGCUUGUCUCAAAGAUUAAGCCAUGCAUGUCUAAGUAUAAGCAACUUUAUACUGUGAAACUGCGAAUGGCUCAUUAAAUCAGUUAUAGUUUAUUUGAUUAUAUUACCUACUUGGAUAACCGUGGUAAUUCUAGAGCUAAUACAUGCUAAAAAUCCCGACUUCUGGAAGGGAUGUAUUUAUUAGAUAAAAAACCAACAGAGGUUUAUGCCUCUUUUUUUGGUGAUUCAUAAUAACUUUUCGAAUCGCAUGGCCUUGAGCUGGCGAUGUUUCAUUCAAAUUUCUGCCCUAUCAACUUUCGAUGGUAGUAUAGAGGACUACCAUGGUGGCAACGGGUAACGGGGAAUG
rnacentral:rRNA from 1 species